CCUACGGGGUGCAGCAGUGGGGAAUAUUGGACAAUGGGGGAAACCCUGAUCCAGCGACGCCGCGUGAGUGAAGAAGUAUUUCGGUACGUAAAGCUCUAUCAGCAGGAAAGAAAAUGACGGUACCUGAGUAAGAAGCCCCGGCUAACUACGUGCCAGCAGCCGCGGUAAUACGUAGGGGGCAAGCGUUAUCCGGAAUUACUGGGUGUAAAGGGAGCGUAGACGGUAAUGCAAGUCUGGAGUGAAAGGCGGGGGCCCAACCCCCGGACUGCUCUGGAAACUGUGUAACUGGAGUGCAGGAGAGGUAAGUGGAAUUCCUAGUGUAGCGGUGAAAUGCGUAGAUAUUAGGAGGAACACCAGUGGCGAAGGCGGCUUACUGGACUGUAACUGACGUUGAGGCUCGAAGGCGUGGGGAGCAAACAGGAUUAGAUACCCCAGUAGUC
rnacentral:rRNA from 1 species